UUUUUGGAAAGAGCCUUCAGGGCUUGUAACGCAAAAUACCUCGUGAAAUACAAAACAUCUCAGGCAAGAUCGUUCUUACGCUGCUUCGAACAUACAGAAAACUCAAAUGAAGAUUUUUCAUAUUCAAACUACAUGUACAAUCUGUGUUUAAAUAUUAAAACGAUUAACGGUAUUGUGCACAACUAAUAAUAGUCAUUCUUUUCUAAUUAAUAUUUAACGUUCCAUCAACUACUUUCAUUUUUAUAUACAGUAGUUACAAAAAAUAUUGGCUUAUUGUUAUUUUCCAAUGAAGCGUGUUUUAAUAAGGUUGUACGUUACACUUUCAUAGCAUUAAAUUAUAAUCAUAUGAAAGUACUACUGAAUAACACAAAAUUUAAUAUACGUGGAUCUCGUUAAUUAGUAUGUAAAUAUUACAACAAAUACAAUGGCGUUAUACAGCAAAUAAUUAGUCUGUGAUAUAAUGAUUACAGCAUUGAGAAACUUUGAAUCACAUUGAAAUUUGAAUUCAAAUGCGCCCGCCGCUAGUAGCGACGCUAUAAUUAGAAAUGCCCAAUCACGUCAGACGCUGUCACUUUCAAGAUGGCGACGUUACUCUUAAGACGUACAAUUUUCUCGCCAUCCAAUAUAAAAUUUAUUGUGUUUUCUCGAAAUGCUGCGUGUAUGUGCGUGUGUACGUUUGCUGUUUGCUGUUGUACGAGCUGAUUGCUGAAUGUGGAUUCAUAUUUAAUUGCGAGUAACAUGAAAUAUCAGUACCAUGUGAAGGCGAAACUUCAAGGAAUAUAUUUUUAAACAAUUUGGAGCUUGCGUAACUUCGUGCUACAUAAUCACCAGUAAUCUCUUUGUGUUCCCUAGAGGCAACGCCCGUGUGAAAAGACAUUUAUAACUACGUACGUAUCUAUUGGAUGUUAAACAUGGAAAAUGCAAAAUAUGUCAGCUAUUAAGAAACGAAUGGGUUCAAGACGUGAAUCGAAUUCAACGAGGAAAUAAAGUCUCAAACGUGAUGUAACAUAGAAACACGAAACAGUGCAAGGUAAAAUCCUGUGCGGCGCUAAUAACUCCGUCGUAACAGCGUUCUUAACUACCCUACGCGAGGAACGAAACUUGUAAAUCAAGUUGUUUAGCUCCUUUCGAAGGCGGCAGACGGGACAGAGGUUGGUUCGUUCACAAUAACUAAUUCUUGAUGGUACGCGAACGCGCGGGGCUAAUUGAAGCACGCUUGAAUCUACAAGAAUAUUAGGGCCGGGUCGACACGAGCAUAGAAACGAAGCGUUAUCCCAGCGAUUGUCCCAUUCGCUCGUCGGUUCCGCGCUUGUUUCUACCGCGGCCGGAGGAAAAUUUGUACGAGCCCCGACGAACGUAAACAAUGGAUCCGGCGCCGUUGCUGAAUAACCUCGUUACCGAUGGAGGAGCAUAAAGAUCACGUCCACAGUGGCGGAGAGCGAUAGGAUCCUCUAGAAACUCCUCCGGCCGAUGUAUUUGCUUGCUCGAGUACGCCUCUGCUAAUUAUAUUACUCUUUGAAACUGUAUCCGCCAGUCUUUGGAACAUUGAUCUGCUAUUGUGCGCCAGGCCAUGGUAUCUACAGGAUGACUCGGAAACGCGGGUCCAGGGGAUAAAUCUACCCACUGAGACAAGUAAAAAAUAUCGUACCUACAUGCGUUCUUUCAUACUUUUCGAAUUAUAGACGACGAAGGAGAAUAUCUUGCUCCUUCGGUUUUUCAUGAUCAAUCAUGUUACGCGUCACACUUUUGCGUCAAUGUUUCAUGAACGUUAUAAUUCGCUUCUACAGAACAUGAAACUCUUUCGGGUUUGCUCUGAAGAAGCGAGUUGUAACGUUCAAAAAUAAAAAGACGUGACAUUCAUCAAGCGUCGUGAAAGUUUAAACGAAUGAAUUUAACCACAUUGGCCUGAGAAUGGUUCGUACGAUACUUUUUACUUACUUCAGUGUGUAGAUUCACCCGCCGGGCAUGUAUUUAUGAAUCGCCCUGUACAGUAUAUAUAUACAUAUAUACCGAGGAAUUAUACUUCGUUACAUUCGUUGUUGUAUCGUAUUUCCCUGCUGAAGACUGUUCGAAUACAUCCUCCGAGAACUACCGGACGUGAAGUCCCGUCCUGAAGAAGAUCAUCAGCUUACCAGGGGAAAAGAUCUGAAGGAGUUCGAAGAAGUUUCUCCGAACGAACGGACGAGCAAACGAGCGUGCGGUUUCUCGUGUGCAUAUAUGUAUAUGGCCGCAGGUGUAUUCAUGCGGACAGAACGAACACCGAGGACCUGUGUAACUUGACGGAAAAUGGUCCGACACAUUCGAAAUGAAAAUGCAGUCGAAGGUAAUUGGAAAAGUAAGUUGAGAAGCGGAACGACGAGACGACAGCGCACCGCACUGGACGUGCUUUUGAGACAGAUACUUAAAUCUUUGUUUACAAUUCAUAUUGAUCGAUCGUGUACGCUACUAUGAUGUGGCUAGAAUUGGAAGAAUAAUUAUUUCGUGACUUCGAUUAACUAUAUAUAUUUUACUGAACAAGUGUAAUACAUUUUAAUCGGUAUUGCAGUCUCUAUUUUUUAAAAUCGAGUGCUCAAAACAUCGAGCGUUUGUUCUUUCUCAUUUUACAAGAUGUUACAUUAUAUAAUAAGUUUAACACACGUCUAUAUCUUCUACCUUACACGUAUUACUUUCAAAAGCUGCACUCGGUAAAUAUUUAUAGAGACAUCCCGCUUUGAUCGGUGAAACAUAAAGCGGGAAAGUUACAGACACAGCGCUGUCUGGAUUAUUUUUCCUCCGGAGUCGUAUUUUAUUUCAUUAUUACCAUAAUGUUUUUCCGCCAUCGAUCUAACCCGAUAACAUUAAUUAGCAAUUUUAUCGUUUGUCGACGAGUCGACUAGCGAUUUUUAACGAAUCGUCGAUGCCUUCGAAGGUAACUUCGUUAUACACUGGCUAGGAAAAUCGUUCCCUACUUAUCCCAAACAAUUUCCAGGAGAAACCGCUUGAAAACCAACUCGAAACUACUCCAGGAAAUCGAUUCUCUCCGUGAAUCUUAUUAUACCUUACUUUUAAUUCCACUUCAAUAGGAAACUUGUUGAUCGUUCGCGUGACAGCGCACACAGCAUUUCCAGUCAGCGUGCCCCGUGAAAUGUCAUCUUCGUCUCUAGAAUCUUUCGAAUACAGCUGCUUCGUAGAACCUACGCGAGAUAGAAAUUGUAAUAUUAUCUGUCUCAUUAUUUUGUAACAAAUAAUCAGUGUCAGUUAGUAUUUGAAAACAACAUAAUAUUCCAAUCUAAAAUGGCUGCAAACUAUUGAACGAAGCAUUUCUUUAAUCAGGUAUUAUACGUCUGAUUUUUGAAAUAUCAAAUUUUUAAUAGUACUAAAUGAUACGAAGUGUGAUAUA